rnacentral:rRNA from 1 species
AGAGUUUGAUCCUGGCUCAGAACGAACGCUGGCGGCGUGCCUAACACAUGCAAGUCGAACGGGGAUAGAUAGCUUGCUAUUUAUUCUAGUGGCGCACGGGUGAGUAACGCGUAGAUAAUCUGCCUUGGACUCUGGGAUAACAUUUCGAAAGGGGUGCUAAUACCGGAUAAGCCCACGGGGACGUAAGUUCUUGCGGGAAAAGGGGGCCUCUGCAUAUGCUCUUGAUCCAAGAUGAGUCUGCGUACCAUUAGCUAGUUGGUAGGGUAAGAGCCUACCAAGGCGACGAUGGUUAGCUGGUCUGAGAGGAUGAUCAGCCACACUGGAACUGAGACACGGUCCAGACUCCUACGGGAGGCAGCAGUGGGGAAUUUUGCGCAAUGGGGGAAACCCUGACGCAGCAACGCCGCGUGAGUGAUGAAGGCUUUCGGGUCGUAAAGCUCUGUCUAGAGGGAAGAAAUGAUAUUGGGUUAAUACCCUGAUUUCUUGACGGUACCUCUGAAGGAAGCACCGGCUAACUCCGUGCCAGCAGCCGCGGUAAUACGGAGGGUGCAAGCGUUGUUCGGAAUUAUUGGGCGUAAAGCGCGUGUAGGCGGUUUGUUAAGUCUGAUGUGAAAGCCCCGGGCUCAACCUGGGAAGUGCGUUGGAAACUGUCAGACUUGAAUACGGGAGAAGGUAGUGGAAUUCCUAGUGUAGGAGUGAAA